UGAUGGUUGGAGCAAACUUUGUGAAAGCAAAGGACGCUAAAGCUAUGGGUCUAAGGCCGUCGCGCAAGACCGGCUAGGAUCGCCAGGCUACAAGU
rfam:Desulfitobacterium hafniense Y51 DNA, complete genome.